rnacentral:rRNA from 1 species
AUGAAAAAGAAAGAGCCCAAAGGCCGAAAGAACUAUUAUUACUCACUUUAUCAUUUUUCAUUUAGCAGAAAAGAAAAGAGUCCAAAAGAACUAGUAGGAGUAGUAGUAGUGGCUGGGAAUGAGCAGGCAGGCAGGCAGGCAGAGGGGGCCAAGCCAAGAGCUUCACGCUCUCCCACACUCCCCGCUCCACUCCACUCCCCCCAUCCCGCUGCUGCGCGUGCUCCCUCCCCGUCGCCUUUCGCCGCCGCCCCUCCGCCCCUUUCCCACCCCCCUUUCCCGGCUCCAUCCUCCCGUGAUCCGCGCCCGCCCGCAGGCCGCGGGCUCUCGGCCGCCCCUCCGCUCCUCCGAGGAGGAUUGGUUCUUGGCAGAGACGAGGACAGCCAGGGGAAGAAAAGGUGGUGGCGGUGGGUUCUUGUCCGCUCCGCCUCCCAGUUGAAGUUGAAUCUCCCCGUCCGCCGACUGGAUUCGCUCGCCAUCUUUUUCCUCCGCCGGAAAAGGACCGCCCGCCCUACUCGCGCGGCGGAGCGACCUCCGCCAAUUAAUCCUCGCGCCGUGGUUGUUGUCCCGCUGAAAAGCCCCGCCCCUUCUUAA